GAUGAACGCUGGCGGCGUGCCUAACACAUGCAAGUCGAGCGAGUGAAUCUCCUUCGGGAGUGAAACUAGCGGCGGACGGGUGAGUAACACGUGGGCAACCUGCCUCAUAGAGAGGAAUAGCCUUUCGAAAGGAAGAUUAAUACCGCAUAAGAUUGUAGCUUCGCAUGAAGUAGCAAUUAAAGGAGUAAUCCGCUAUGAGAUGGGCCCGCGGCGCAUUAGGUAGUUGGUGAGGUAACGGCUCACCAAGGCGACGAUGCGUAGCCGACCUGAGAGGGUGAUCGGCCACAUUGGGACUGAGACACGGCCCAGACUCCUACGGGAGGCAGCAGUGGGGAAUAUUGCACAAUGGGGGAAACCCUGAUGCAGCAACGCCGCGUGAGUGAUGACGGCCUUCGGGUUGUAAAGCUCUGUCUUCAGGGACGAUAAUGACGGUACCUGAGGAGGAAGCCACGGCUAACUACGUGCCAGCCGCCGCGGUAA
rnacentral:rRNA from 1 species